AUUGAACGCUGGCGGCAUGCUUUACACAUGCAAGUCGAACGGUAACAGGUUAAGCUGACGAGUGGCGAACGGGUGAGUAAUGCAUCGGAACGUGCCCGGUCGUGGGGGAUAACGCAGCGAAAGCUGCGCUAAUACCGCAUACGAGCUGAGGAUGACAGCGGGGGACCGGAAGGCCUCGCGCGAUCGGAGCGGCCGAUGUCAGAUUAGGUAGUUGGUGGGGUAAAGGCUCACCAAGCCAACGAUCUGUAGCUGGUCUGAGAGGACGACCAGCCACACUGGGACUGAGACACGGCCCAGACUCCUACGGGAGGCAGCAGUGGGGAAUUUUGGACAAUGGGCGAAAGCCUGAUCCAGCAAUGCCGCGUGCAGGAAGAAGGCCUUCGGGUUGUAAACUGCUUUUGUACGGAGCGAAAAGGUCUCCUCUAAUACAGGGGGCUCAUGACGGUACCGUAAGAAUAAGCACCGGCUAACUACGUGCCAGCAGCCGCCGUAA
rnacentral:rRNA from 1 species